GACGAACGCUGGCGGCGUGCUUAACACAUGCAAGUCGAACGGCAAGGCCCUGCUUUUGUGGGGUGCUCGAGUGGCGAACGGGUGAGUAACACGUGAGUAACCUGCCCUUGACUUUGGGAUAACUUCAGGAAACUGGGGCUAAUACCGGAUAGGAGCUCCUGCUGCAUGGUGGGGGUUGGAAAGUUUCGGCGGUUGGGGAUGGACUCGCGGCUUAUCAGCUUGUUGGUGGGGUAGUGGCUUACCAAGGCUUUGACGGGUAGCCGGACUGAGAGGGUGACCGGCCACAUUGGGACUGAGAUACGGCCCAGACUGCUACGGGGGGCAGCAGUGGGGAAUAGUGCACGAUGGGCGGAAGCCUGAUGCAGCAACGCCGCGUGCGGGAUGACGGCCUUCGGGUUGUAAACCGCUUUCGCCUGUGACGAAGCGUGAGUGACGGUAAUGGGUAAAGAAGCACCGGCUAACUACGUG
rnacentral:rRNA from 1 species